GUCGUAACAGGUUUCCGUAGGUGAACCUGCGGAGGGAUCAGUAUUGAAUGAACUUGGUGUGGUUGUUGCUGGCCCUCUCGGGGGCAUGUGCACACCCGCCAUCCUCAUCUCUCCACCUGUGCACCUCUUGUAGACUUGGAUUUAUACUAUCCGAGGCAACUCGGUCGGGAGGAAUGCUGUGCUCUCUGGGUCGGCUUUCUUUGCAUUUCCAAGACUACGUUUUUCAUAUACUCUAUAGUAUGUAACAGAAUGUAUUCAAUGGGCCUUUAGUGCCUAUAAACCCUUAUACAACUUUCAGCAACGGAUCUCUUGGCUCUCGCAUCGAUGAAGAACGCAGCGAAAUGCGAUAAGUAAUGUGAAUUGCAGAAUUCAGUGAAUCAUCGAAUCUUUGAACGCACCUUGCGCUCCUUGGUAUUCCGAGGAGCAUGCCUGUUUGAGUGUCAUUUAAUUCUCAACCUUUAUUAGCUUUUGCUGAUAGUGGCUUGGAUGUGGGGGUUUUAUUUGCCGGCUUCUUCAGAGGUCAGCUCCCCUUAAAUGCAUUAGCCGGUGCCCCGCGUGGAACUGUCUAUUGGUGUGAUAAUUAUCAACGCCGUGGAUGUCUGCAAAAUGGGUUUUGCACUGCUUCUAACCGUCUGUUAAUUUGGACAAUUCAUGACAAUUUGACCUCAAAUCAGGUAGGACUACC
rnacentral:rRNA from 1 species